GAGCGCGGAGAGCCGGCGCGCCCGCUUGGUGCCGGCUUCAGACGGCCGAAGCCGCGCGCUGCGGGGAGCCGCGGAAGAUGCAUUUCUCUUUUCCAUAGAAUCCCGCUCAGCCCGGCGCGACGUGAUUUACGGCCCCAGGCGGCUCUACAGAUAUUAUUUACAGUAUUAAUAUUUCCUCUGUUACACCUUUAAAUCUUUCCGGGCUCAACUUUAGAUGACGCUAUCUUCAUGGUGAAAUGAAACUAUUAAAUUACAUCUCCAUCUAAGAUGAAUGACAACUGUCACAGGAGUGACUCGACAGAGAUGAAGCAGAAAGCGCCUGAGAUUACGCGGGGCUGAUUUAUAAAGAUUGCAUAAAGAUUUCUAUAACCCAGCUUCAUGACUCAGCAUAUCGGAUGGUAAUAAGUUACAGUAGGUAGAAAUUUAUUUCUGCUGGAAGAAGCCAAGGAGAGCUUCUCUCUCCCUCUCCCCCCACCUCCCAGCAGCCCUCUCCCGCUAGCCCUGCACGGGCUGAGCCCGCAGACCGCCGGCCGCCAGCACCAGCCCCGCCGGGGAGAGCCUUGCGGCACGGUGCUUUGCAGUACCGUCCGUUAAGCAGGUUGAAACAUUUAUUUGAUGGCACAGAUGCGCGUGGCAUUGCCCUCCUCACACUGAUGUGCCCCGGCUGAGCCCAGCCUCAACCCGCAGCGCGGUGCUGCGACCGCAGCUCCGGCGGGCGGUGACCGCGCGUUUUCCUGCAGGAGCAGAAAAUGAACGCAGGUGGCCCCGAACGGGAGUCAGACCGUUCUGCUGCACAAUGAACGGUGUAUCUCGCUGAUGUUUAAGCAGGCGAAGAUGCAGGCGGGCGUCCUUAGCUUCCUAGACUGAAAGUAAAAUCCGUUACUGAAUGAAGCCGUUUGCAGUCUUGUAGGGGCAUUCCGAAGUUGUUGGCUGCAAGUCAGCCCUGAAAGGGAAUCUCCAGGUUAAGUUCUUUUGUGACUGGGUAAGCCCCGGCAGCUGCUGUGUGGCCGUUCAGAUGCGAAUCGUCCUGAAUGAAAAAGGAGAUGAAAAGGAGGCUAAAUCUUCGGAAAAAGGAAACAAAACAAACAAAACUACGACAAAACAACUUUUCGAAGUGUGAAAAGGUAGGAGAAGAAAAAGGUCAGCAGAGAUGACGGGAGGAGGAAGAGAAAAACUGGAGGGAGUGAAAAAGGAGAAAAGAAACAUGGCAUGUGGAAUGGGCAAAGACAGGCAGUAAUAGUAGUCAGUAACUGCAUACAGGUGUUUUUUUCACUUACGAACUAAGCAAGACAGCUGAAAAAUGACUCACAAGAUGCAAGUAAUGCAACAGAUCCCACAAGAGCACAAAUUCACCUGUCUUUCAUGAAGGUUCAGAGGAAUGCUGAUACGGAGCCUUGGUGUCCUCAUCCCUGGUCCCUGGAGCAGAGAUCCUGGAGAUGUGGAUCCAUCUGUCAUGGACAGCCUUGCAGGAUGCUAUCAGAAUAAGGAUAACCACAGCAGUCAGUUGGCUUCCUCAGACUUCUUCAAGACAACUAUAGACAAACUAUUAUUUGCUGGAAGAAGGCUUCAGCCCUGUUCAUCUGCUGCUAUAAAUUAUGGCACUGGCUCUUUUGAUCUGGCUGCUGGUCAGUGAUCACAGAAUGGCUUAAGUUGGAAAGGACCCUGAAGAUCACCCAGUUUCAACUCUCUUGCCAUGGGCAGCAACAUGUCACCAGAACAGGCUGCUCAGGGGCCCAUCCACCUUGGCUUUGAACACCUCCAAGGAUGGGGCACUCACAGCUUCUCUGGGCAGCCUGUGCCACUGCCUCACUGCCCUCUGAGUAAAGAAUUUGUCAAAUCCUAAUCUAACAAACAUCUAAUUUCCCCUCAUUUAUUAAGCUAUUGCUUGUAAUAUAAAGCUAUUACCCUUCUCCUGUCACUAUCCAACCAUGUAAAAAGUUGGUCCCCCUCAUAUUUAUAAACUCCCCUCAAGUGCUGGAAGGCUGCAAUGAGAUUUCUCUAGAGCCUUUUGUUUUCCAAGCUAAGCAAGCCCUAGUGUCUCAACUCUUCUUCACAGGAGAGGAGCUCCAGCCCUCUAAUCAUCUUUGUGGCCUUCUCUGGACCCUCUCCUACAGCCCCCCAUUCUUCCUGUGCUGGAGGCCCCAGAUCUGGACGCAGUACUCCAGAUGGGGCCUCACAAAGGCAGAGCAGAGGGGAACAAUCCCCUUCCCUCCCUACUGGCCAUCCCUCUCCUGAUGCAGCCCAGGAUAUCAUUGGCCUUCCGGGCUGUAGGCAAAUAUUGCUGGCUUGUGUUUUUUAUCCACCAGAACCCUCCAGGUUCUGUUCUGCAGGGCUGCUCUCAAUGAGUUCAUCUCCCAGUCUGUACACAUAUCUGGGAUUGCUCUGACCAAGUGCAACACCUUUCACUUGGCCUUGUUUAACCUCACUAGAUUCAUAUGUGCCCAUUUUUUUGUGCAAGUCCAGGUUCCUCUGGAUGGCAUAUCUCCCUUCUGUUGUGUCAGCUGCACCACUCACUCAUCGUG